UAUUAGAAAUUUCAUUCAUUUGUAUGUUUAAAAAUUAGUGUGACUAACGGAAUUACCAAACAAUGACACGUAGUGUGCCACUUUUAUCUCAUACUGAUAUACGUAGAUCAAUUUUUAACAGUAGGAAUAAAUGAAAUUUUUAACA
rfam:Gossypium hirsutum cultivar TM-1 chromosome 11, whole genome shotgun sequence